AUGUCUUGCUAAAAAGGAAAAAAUCUGCUAGUGAAACUAGCACUAUUUCAACAAUAUUAAGGAAUUACUGACAUAAAACAUUUAUUGCUAAAAAGUUACUUGUAAGUUAGUUUUGUCUCAUUUCAAGUAUACUAGGAUAUUUGCAUUAAAAAUUAGACCAAAACUACUUGGUAAGGUUUGGUGUUUUUGCAGUGCAGCACUAUCAGAGUACCAACUUUUAGAUGAUUAAUAUGUCAACAUUUUGAAUCCACUCCACUCUCAGAUAUGCAUUAGUCACACUGAGUGAUUCAGCUGUUUCAAGUCACUCACAGCUAUUAACUAUUAACACUGCCCCCCUCUGGCACAUACAGCUGCAUCUCGGUAAAUUAAAAUAUCAUCAAAUUUUUAUUUAUGUCAGGAAUUCACUACGGUGAAACCCAUAUGUGGAUUCGUUACAGGAUCUAUUUCUGUUCAUAUUUAUGAUUAUAGCUUACAGCUAAUGGAAAAUUUGAACAAUACACAGAAUCAUCAAGUGGCUGUAUCUAAAUAUAUUAUUUGGAAAGUUGAGUGGAAGGAAAACUGUUGUCAAGAAAAAAACCACAAGAAACAGGGUCAAUGUUUGCGUGUCCUCAAAUCUAGAGUCAGGAAAUUUUUAGGUUUUUGUUUGUUUAGUUGCUUUAAUUAAACUCUAACUCAUUUACCCAGAAAGUCCAGUUUGGUUUGAAGAGGUGAAACCAAAAAUGGAAACUCUGGUCUUUGGUUUAAUUUCUGGUGCAAAUAUCUUAGUACACUUGAAAUAAGACAAAACUA